CCUUCAUCAUGCAAGACAUAAUUGAAAAAGGGGGAUUUUUUUGUUUGUUUAAAACCGAAGAUGUUAAAUAUAGUUUACAGAAGCAGGAACGCCGUUUGAUUCUCCACCAAGCAAACUAACCAAUGUUACUGUACAUCCUUCAACAGUUGUUGCCACAGUUCGCUGGCAUCUUAUUAGCGAUGGGGGAUAUCCUGUUACACAUUUUACUCUGCUCUAUUAUCCACUUGUUCCUUCUAGCAACAAAACUAGGCAACUUCCACUGCCUGUACACAUAAGCCCAGCAGCUAGACAGUUCUUCAUUUAUCACUUGUACCCAGCAACACAGUAUGUAUUUCGGAUUUGGGCUACCAACAGAUUAGGACCUGGAGAGGCUUCUACAGUGCAGGCAACUACAGUUAGGCCCAUAAGUCCACACGAAAUAGUGGAAUAUUUAACAAAGUCUGAAAGUCAAUAUUCUACCUCAUCUGUCUGGAUGAUUGGGAUUUUGUUGGUGGUCGGAUUUGUCCUGUUAUUGCCAGUUUUGAGCUGUAUAUUGAUCUGCAAAAAUGAGCAUAAUAUAAUUCCAGAUGACAUUAAUGAUAUGUCCAGAAUAACCUCCAAUUCAAGAUUUGAAUACAACUUAGAAGAAACCUACCUCUUGGAAGAAGCUGACUUUAAUGCCAAUAUUGAAAAAGUUAGAACAACCAAUAAUAAUACAGUGGUGCAGCCAUCAUCAUAGAUUUCAAAUUGAAUUAAUUGUUGUUGAUCUAGCUGGCAUUAAAAGCAGUCUUGUAUUUUACUAAACCACACAUUAUUGUUUGUGUGAUAUGUGUAUGUCUGUUAUUCACAUAUUUUGCAAGAGUUCAAAAGAAAGAUUAGAGAUAGCAAACUAACUUUUUCUUAUGUUGUGCUCCUGUGUGCAAUAGUCAUUAUCUUGAUUUUCACAAAUCAAGAAUAAAAUAUUUAGUCAGCAUUCAGCUUUAUGUGGUAAACAUACUAGUAGUAUUGUGGAUAAGUGAUUGACUAAAAAAGAAUUGGAAUUUUAUGAAAGCAGUAUUUUGAAUAUCAUAUUUAAUUAAUUUAUGUCACUCACUUUAACUGUGUGCUUGAUACAUUAUAAAAAGGUCAUUUUGAAAUCUCAAUAAAUUAAAACCAUUAGACAUGACAUCAAAGAUCUUUAGUUUAAUAAAGCAAAUAUAAUGAACUAACAUUAUCAUGUUUGAUUGUCAGUAACAAGAAUUGUGACUUUCAAUCUGUUUAGCCUUGUUGGGGGGGUUGUUUUAAAACUUAUCUUAUAAUGUCAAUGAAUGAAUGAAUUUUUAGGACGUUUUUUAGUCAUUCAAAGAAAUUGUAUUACUCGUAUGGUGAUAAACAUGGCGAAUGUAGUUUGAGUAUUACUGUUUAGCUGGAUUUUCUGAGGUAAAGAGAUAACAUAUAAUGACUUUAUUAUGGUAUUACAAAGCCAAGUACUUAUAAUACAUUAAAAUAAAGAAAAGGAUAUUAUGUUCAGAUAUUCUGGACUUAUCUAUUUUUAUGUAAAAAUCACUCAUGCUAUAAUCUAUGAGUGUUUAAGGUUUAUACAUUAUUGGAUGAUUAAUUCUUUUAUUUUUGGCACUAACAACCACUCUGAUUAUUCUUACUUAGUCUGAAAUUCAAUAAUUAUCUUACUAUAUCUAAUAAGAAUCAUAAUUAAUAAAGAGACAGUUUUAAGAUUAAGCAUAAAAUAUUAAAAAUUCUAUGAAAAUGGUUAAAUGUUUAAUUCUUGUAAACCUUAUCUUUGAACAAAACUUGCUCUUU
rnacentral:misc_RNA from 1 species